ensembl:snoRNA LOC120099070 small nucleolar RNA SNORA44
UAGGAGAUUUUUAAAGUCAAGUUAAAGUUAGUUGGUUUUCUGCCAGAGUAACGGAGAGACUUUGACAGCCCAGGUUAUCACAGUGCCUGCUGUUGCCACUCAGCUCUCCUAUAUGU